CAAUGGCACUGCCCGGUAGCUAAAUGCGGAAGAGAUAAGUGCUGAAAGCAUCUAAGCACGAAACUUGCCCCGAGAUGAGUUCUCCCUGAGACUUAGAGUCUCCUGAAGGAACGUUGAAGACGACGACGUUGAUAGGCCGGGUGUGUAAGCGCAGCGAUGCGUUGAGCUAACCGGUACUAAUGAACCGUGAGGCUUAACCUUACAACGCCGAAG
rnacentral:rRNA from 2 species